rnacentral:lncRNA from 1 species
UUCACUCGUUCAAGUGUUCUAAAGGUUAGAAACUUCAUCCUCCUUUAACACAUAGUUAGUAUACUAAGUUUUAUAUUUUAGAGCUAGUAAUUUGUGAUUUUUAGAAUAAGGUAUAAUGGAGAAAUUUUUUUAUUUAUAUGAAUGUGUUAUUUAGAGCUCAUAUUUGUGAUUUUUAGAAUAAGUUACAAUUCUUUGGAUGCUAUAUUUCGUAUUAGUCAAAGAUAUUGAUAUGAGGUUAGAGAAAUAAUUUCAUAGUUUAGUUUUUUCAAAUAUGAUCUAAAUAUAUUAUGGCAAAUCAUAGAGAUAAUAAGAUGAAAUAGAGUUCCGUAUUUUUCAUUUGUAUGUUAUGUUUGAGCUACUAGUCUAGUACUCCUCUCCGAACCGGCCUACAAAUACACACCACCCCAGUAACCCACUCCAAGCCACCAGCUUUUGCAUCUCCGAGCUCUCAGCCCUCCGACAAUUUCCCCACAGAGCUCUAUCCCCCGGCUAUCUUUUACAACACAUUCCUUUAACGUCUUGUAGAAAGUCACUACCGUCGUUAGACUAGAGCCAGCUUGUGAUAUGUGACAUCGAUAUUUGAGUUUGUCGUGGUGUAUCAUGUUGUUUGGAUCUGAAAUUUAAAUUUUUAUAUUACUAUCUAAACUUUCAGCAACAUUUCUAUUUAAUGGUAUUUGUUUCAUAUUUUUUAUGUUUCAUUUAUAAUUGUAUGGAUGAUCAGAAUAUCUCUGGUUCGGUAAUAUUUUGUAGAUGUAUCAGCAAUGAAUGUACAACACAACCAAACAUUCUAUAGAGUACAUUAAUGGCUUGCGUGGUUUUCUCGAUUAGGCAGAAUCCAACAAAUCAUCAUCCGGUUUCAUUUGUAGUCCAUGCAGAAAUUACAAAAAUGAG